AUGCCUACGGGAGGCAGCAGUAGGGAAUAUUGCUCAAUGGGUGAAACCCUGAAGCAGCAACGCCGCGUGGAGGAUGAAGGUUUUCGGAUUGUAAACUCCUUUUGUUAGAGAAGAUAAUGACGGUAUCUAACGAAUAAGCUCCGGCUAACUACGUGCCAGCAGCCGCGGUAAUACGUAGGGAGCAAGCGUUAUCCGGAUUUAUUGGGUGUAAAGGGUGCGUAGACGGAGAAGCAAGUUAGUUGUGAAAUCCCUCGGCUUAACUGAGGAACUGCAACUAAAACUACUUCCCUUGAGUACUGGAGAGG
rnacentral:rRNA from 1 species